GAUGAAGAACGCAGCGAAAUGCGAUAAGUAAUGUGAAUUGCAGAAUUUUGUGAAUCAUCGAAUCUUUGAACGCACAUUGCACCUUUUGGUAUUCCGAAAGGUAUGCUUGUUCGAGCGUCGUUUAACUAAUAUCAAUUUAAUUAUUGAUGUAUUGAGGGACUUUUCAUUUUUUUUUAAAUAAAAAAGCCUUCCAAAAAUAUUGAGCGAUCUUGAUUGAUUUAUUUGACGCAUUAAAUAUUUACUCGUUGAGAAAAUUCAAUCAGGAGCAGCCAACAGCAAAACAAUUAUUAUUUUAAUUAUCGACCUCGAAUCAAGUAGGAUUACCCGCUGAACUUAAGCAUAUCAAUAAGCGGAGGA
rnacentral:misc_RNA from 1 species